rnacentral:lncRNA from 1 species
UAUCGUGUUUGGCUAAUAGGUGUUUGCUUGUCUGUGUUAGUGUAUGGCUUGCUGUUGUGGUGUAUGGAGCUCAACACUGUCUCAUAUUGUCUUUGUGUGUGGAGAGACACAGAGAUUAUCAGCAGGCAAGCAGCAGCAGUAUUCAGUAUAUCUAUCUCUGUGUACAAAGUGAAGAUAUUUACCAUAGCACCAGACGCCGCCAACACACAACACAAUGAAGGAGACAACACUUGGUGACUCCCAGCAGUAACAACACACUCAGCGCCUGUGGUAAUAAUGGUACCUCGUCCCAACUGGCUCUAACUUAACCUUCAGAACACAUUAAUAGCGAAUCAAUUCAUGCAGGUCCUUGAAAGUUGUUAAAAUGCAAGUAUCAUGUCCAUAAAUCGAGGGAUGGGUAGUGGCCGUGGACAGGUCUCACAUUUUGUGCUUUAUUUUUUACUUUUAUAAGCCAGACAUGUCACAAAGUGGAGGUGCAUGCAUAGUUUUUCACAUCACGUGUUGAGGUACGUCGUAUUGCCAGCUUUGUGUGUCAGCAGGGCCCAGUGAGGCGAAAUAGCGAGUGGCCGGCCUGAGCGGGUACGAAUAUCCUGAUAACGUCAUGUCCCACCCUGCAUCAGCCUUGCCAGUUCCAACAAUUUUUUUUUCUUAGCUCACUUAUUUCUCCUGUUAAGUUUUCAUGCUUUCUACACGUAAGUAGGAGUGUUUAAAAUGUAUUAUAUGAUUGUGUUGCGUGAAACAUAGUGAUUUAAAGGUUGUUUAUGGUUUAGAUAAGAGCCCAGUUUCCGUUACAAAUUUUUCAAACCCGGUAUCAUUGAUAUUUUAUUUCAAGUUGUAGUGAAGUGCUUGUGUUUUCAGCAAAUCGUUUAUGAUGGUUAAAUUGUGUUACGCUCCUGAUAGUCUAAAUAUGUGGAAUUUAAUAGUGAUUUAUAGUGCCUUUAAAAUGUGUAAAACUGACAUAUAUAAAAGACAUUUUAUUUUAUUUCAACAUGCUGCCAAGUUUUAAUGUGUUCUGAAACUAGUUCAUAUUUUUCAAAAGUGAUUGCGAUUCUGUUGAGUGAAACUAGUGGGCUUUGGAACUGUUUUUAAACAUGUCGAUAUUUUAACACUUUUAUUUACGGUGUUUUUGUAAAUGUUUUCUUAUUGCUCAGCUUGGUAAUGAUUUUACUUUUUAGGAAUUAGUUUUGAUUUAUAACAAGUCAGAAUUUGAUAAGCAUUCGUGUAUAGCUGUCUUUUUGCUAAUCGGCAUUUUCAAAAUGAUUUACAUAACGUAUAUGUGACGUCAUCAACGAGGGGCGUGUCGGCGGCUGGACCCAGACCCAGACCUAGACAUGGCUCCUUUCUGCUGCUGGAGAGUGGUCGAGAGCUGGACGGAGCGGGAAGUGGCGGGAUGGGACUGGACAAGGAGGCAGUGUGGCGUUGGAAGUCUAUAAUACCUCUGCUCGCUUACUCUAUGUCGGUGUUCGCCGCGUCUGUGUGUUCACCUAUACUUCUGGAUGCAGUGUUCAGGAUCAGGAGGUUACAAAGGGCAGCGUGAGGUGGUGCUAAGUGGACCUUUCGUGAUCAAAGAGAGCGGGUGCUAAAUUAUUCACCUGCCUCAUAAUAGCGGCUUUUACGUGUGAGGGCUACCACUGGAC